rnacentral:lncRNA from 1 species
UAAAAACAGGUUGAAAUGUCUAAUAUAUUCUCAAACCAGACAGAAAAAAAACACUGAGAUAAAAUAGAUAUUGUGAAUGUCCUGCUUCCAUAUUUAAACAAGAUUAAAGGGUUUUGCAGAACAAGGGCUUUAAAAAAGAGCUGAAUAUAAUUUGAAUAGAGCAUUCAAUAAUUAUCCAUACUACAGCUUCAAAGAUUAUGUUCCUGUCUCUGCUUGGAUUCCUUCCAAGAAACUGGAAAUAUACAUAAAUUUUGAGAAACUAGUUCUUGUUAGGAUGUUAAUUAGUUACUUGCACUGGUUUCUUUGUCCCUGUCCAUUUUACAGUUAUAGUUAACAAAUGUAAUUAUAUUCAUUUGGCAGCAUGCCUUUGCAAUGGACCACCUAUCUUUGGAAUGCAGAAUGUAGUUUAAGCAAGAUGGCAAUAAAUGCAUAUGCCAUGUUACAUUCUGAUUUUAUUUUUUGCUAUCAAACAGGUGUUAAAUGUGCCAAAACAUGUAUUAGCAUACAAACUGCUAAUGUACAAUCUCAAAUAUGGAUCUAAAUAUCAAAUUAUAACUUCAAAGAUCCUGAUAUCAAUUUACCUGAAUAUGAUACAACUUGGGCACGACUAUCAUGGCAUUCUCUCAGAGAUAUAUCAGAUGACUUAGCAUCCUCUGAGUAGCCUACCUAUUCUGACAAAGAAAAACAUUGUUUGAGGAAGUGGGUCAUAUGUGUGUAGAGAUGUUUGCUGGAAAGUCCUGGAAUUCCAUGGUUCUGAUCAGUGUACCACAUUGCCUGGAAAUCCACCUGUGCAUUAACCAGAGCUUUUGCAAUUUGUGCUGAGUUCUGAAAAUGUACGUUAUCAUCUGCUGUUCCAUGAAUGAGAAGAUACUCAACGUUUUGGAAAUUCUUUGCUCUUGCCAUCACAGUUGAAUUCUUAUAGUGCUCAAGAUUAUCGGACUCUACAGGAAGACCCAUAAAUCGUUCUGUGUAGAUAGAUGCGUAAUAUUCCCAACUGGAAACAGGAGCCACAGCUAUUCCACAUUUAAAUACUCCACUGCCAGAUCCAAGUGCCAGAGAAGUUACAUAUCCACCAUAGGACCAGCCCCAUAUUGCUAUUCGUUUCUCAUCAAUAAAACCCAUUUCUAUAAAUUUCUUCACGGCUGAAAUUUGGUCCUCAACUUCAUAGACUCCUAGUCUUCGAUAAACUGCAUGCAAAAUCUUGUCACCU